AUGCGCACUGGAAAACACUGGAAUUACGGCACUUGGGAUGUGAUGCGCGUUUGUAAUUACGGUAGCUCUGCUUGUAUGCGCAUAUGCAAUUACGGUAGUUGUGAUGCGCAAGAAUAUUUGGAAAUGCGGUGGCUGUGGAUGCCCAUUUGGAAUUACGGUAUCGUGGUGCGGCGCGCUUUUGGAGCUACGGUAGUGGAUGCGCGCAUGCGCAUUUGUAAAUACGGUACUUGCAUGCCGCUCAUUUGGAACCACAUCUGGUGUGCGCAUGCGCUCUUGGAAACACGGUAAUUGUACCAAGCACAGUGGACGUUACGGUACUUAAGGUGCGCAUGCGCAUCUCCAGGUACGGUAAUCCUGUGAUGCGCAAUCAGAAUUAUUGUAGUUGUAUGCGCAUGCGCAUGUGUAAUUACGGUAACCGUGUGAUGCGCAACCAGACUACGUUACUGUCAGUGCGCAUGCGCGCGAUGGAAUUACGGUACCGGCGCCAUGCGCACAUUAAAAAUCCGGUAUUUAUUUUGCACAUGCGCAUUUGAAAACACGGCGGGCGCACUGCGCAUGCGCGCUAGGAAUUACGGUACUGGCGUAUUGCGCAUCUAGAAAAAAUUACGGUACCCGCGCCGCGCACAGACAUUUGUAAAUACGGUAAUCCCGUAUUUCCCGAGGCGCAGCAAGGAAUUUGGCCGGCUGUCCUGCCGGCUGUCUCAGCAGGAUCGGCGGCUCCGCCAUGCCCGGGGCUCCGGGUGCUGCUCACAUGUUCUUUUUUCCACGGCUGUGAGAGCUUCCUCACGUCCAACCCGUGGUUUUUUUGGGAGCAGAAGGACCCAAACCCAGUCAGGUUUUCUCUUCUGAGCUCCUUUGGGACGUGCAUGGAGCGGGAUGGAGGCUGAGAGAGGGGAUGGAAGGAAGGCACGGGGUGGUUUCUGCAGUAAUUUCUUUGCCUUGGCCUCAGCGCAGGACACUGGAGAUGCCUUGGACGGUGAUGGUCCCUGUGGAAAAGACACCAGAGCCCCUUUGAAUUCCUUUCUGUUUCUCCUUAUGCACCGGGAGUGGUGUUGGGGAAGAAGGUUGGUCAAGACUGUUCUGACAGCAGCAGAUUUCAUCCGAGCCCCAUGUGGAUGAGCACAACCGUACCCAACCCUUGAUUUGUGCCAUGUUUUGGAAAAGAGAAAAUUACACCAGUUGUUUUUUGGGUGGAAAUAUUUCCCUGAAUAAGUCUUGGCACCUUGGAGGGUCACGUCUCUGCUGGGAUGAGUGGCUUGGCCAGACUGGAAAGAGGUUGAACACCAAACCCAAGGCCUGCUGGCACUUUUGGACAAUUGACAUCUGGAUUCAGGCCAUGAGAGGUUGGAGCAGUCUUGGGAGAAGAAAGAAAAAGGAGUCACCUGAGGCUAUGAUGCAGGAAAACUUUAUUGAAGCCAAAAAUAAAUUAAAAAUAAAAAAAAAAAAGCAGGAGAAUUAAAUAAAAUGGAGCUGGCCUGAGGUGCAACAGGACAACCAUAAGCACAGAUCCUUUGCUUGCAGUCGGUCUGGCCAGAGCAUUAAGGCCUUCCUGCCCCACAGUGGGAGCAGCUCAGAAGAGGUUACCCAAAGGUCCCUGGAUUGAGAGAAGGGGUUUGCAGCAGAGGGAGCCAAAGGGGCGAGGCAGAGCAGGGAGUGGGAGAAGAGCAGGAGGCAGAUGGGCCAUGUUUGCAGGGCAGCCUAGGUUGGCCUCUUGGCUACUGCCUUGCUUGGUGCCCUGAGAGCAGGAGCUGGAAGCUCUGAGUCCAUCUGAGAGCCUUGGACCAGAGAGGUGUCCUCAAUGCCUGAGAUGUGUUCCAGGG